rnacentral:rRNA from 1 species
AUUGAACGCUGGCGGCAUGCCUUACACAUGCAAGUCGAACGGCAGCACGGGAGCAAUCCUGGUGGCGAGUGGCGAACGGGUGAGUAAUAUAUCGGAACGUGCCCAGUCGUGGGGAUAACGUAGAGAAAUUUACGCUAAUACCGCAUACGAUCUAAGGAUGAAAGCGGGGGAUCGCAAGACCUCGCGCGAUUGGAGCGGCCGAUAUCAGAUUAGGUAGUUGGUGGGUAAAGGCUCACCAAGGCAACGAUCAGUAGCUGGUUUGAGAGAACGACCAGCCACACUGGAACUGAGACACGGUCCAGACUCCUACGGGAGGCAGCAGUGGGGAAUUUUGGACAAUGGGGGCAACCCUGAUCCAGCAAUGCCGCGUGAGUGAAGAAGGCC